rnacentral:tRNA from 1 species
AACGUUGUCUAUUGAGGAGUUCGGUUUGAACCUGAGUUCUAAGGGAGUGAGGCCUUUUCUGCGUUA